CCGAGAGGAACGAACCGGCGGGGUGUAUCGGCGGUUAGGGUGGAGAGAGUGGAAAAGGGAAAUUGGUUGGAGAGAUGGAGUGGAGGGUGUGUGAAAGAAAAAGAAGAGAAAGGUAGAAAAAAGGUGGAUAUUGGAGGAGGAGAUUGGAAAGGGGUACAAAAAGGAUAGGGGAUGAGGUGUGAAGAAGUUGGUAAAAUGGAAAGAAGUAGUGGAUUGAAAGAAGGGUGUAUAGAAUGAGAAAUAAAAUGAAAAAUUUGGAAAAAAGAAAGGAUGUCCGCCUCUCAGGCUUAAAUAUCGGUACAUAUCAUUCGACUCCUGGCGAAACGUCGCUUCGGGAUAUAAUUUCUGAACGGACAUCUUUUAUAUAUCGGAAGCCUCGCAUUAAAACAUAUCCCGAAACGUGCACGCAUGCUCCAAAAGUCUAGAUCCUCGAAAGAGAGAUGGAACAGGAGGAAGAUGGCAAGCAUCGACUCGAUAAAAACGCAACCGAGUUAUUUUAUUUAUCGGUUGGUCAGCAGCCAGCCUGGCUACGCCUUCGAAGUCUCGCGAGCUAUCGUUCGACACACGCGGGAACGAAAGAGGAGGAGGCGAGGAGAAGGUCCAGGCGAGGCCAGGUCCGAGUCUGUUCGGUUCUCCUCCACCGUGCAAUGGUUCGGGGAACGGCGGAAGAAUGCAUCCAUCGGUUGUGCAUCGGUGCAACAGCAACAACGGCACAAGAGACGCGCGCUUCUUACGAGACAACCCCUUUUUUCCUCGUCCCUUCUUCCUUUCUCUCGCGCACCAGACUACGCUCGUUCGUCCGCUCUUUUUCCACGAUACCAUAGAAAGGACAGUUAAAAAGUAACAUAAUACAGACCUUGAGGAUCGUAAAACGUAUCAUCGCUUCGUGAGACGAACAUUAAUUAGCGGCACCUUACCGUUAAGUUUCUUAUACGUAUCAAGAAAGAACUUCAAGCUCGAUGAUGCAUCGCAAAGAUAUUAAACCAAACCAUCUCUGGUUUGUUCGUCAAUCUCCAGACAAACUGUCAGAAGACCCGUAUAUACACACCGAAGAUCUGCAAUUUAAGUCGGCCAGACUCGACUGACAAUACUAAGGCGCGAUUGACGUUGGAAUUAUAUACGUCGGAUUACAAUUUACAUUUCCUAUCUUAAUUUGCAUUUAAUAAUUAAACACAUCAUACGUUCAUGAGAUAUUCUUCGAGUAUAAUCGAUUAGAUGAUAAAAUUAAAAUAAUUUUAAUCACGUAGCUAUUAAUCGUUAUUUCUGCUAUUUGUUAUUUCCAAUUUUUCUUUAAUAAUGCCUACAUUUUAUAUUGAAAAGAUAUUUAUAAUUAUUUUACCAUACAGUAUAGGAGUUUUUUUUUUAAAUUGGUAACUUUAUUAAUUUUAAUAAAUAUCGUUGUUCGUAUAAGAUGCAAAGGACGAACAGAGCGAUUAAUUUUCAUUCGAACAAAGCGACGAUGGUUUUGCGGUCAUUCUCUCUUAUUGCGGAUUCAAUAUCACGCGUGCACACGCGUGAUUUAUAAUACUGAUUAAAUCCUUCGUAUUUAUCAUUUUGCCACUGUCGGCACGUGUGUAACCGGUUCUCGCUCGCGUAGCUUUUCGACAAAUUUCGUGAAAACAGCUAACGAACGAUUUCGCGGAAUCACGAUAUGACAAUUAAGCGUUUUAUUAAAUAAAAUUUAUAAUCGGUAAUACCGGUAAGAAAAUUUUAUAAUUUCUGUUAAAAAUAUUUAAAAGAUCUUUAAAAUUACAUUAUUUAUUUAAUAUAUUUAAUAUUAAAUACUUAACAGAAUGCUUAUCUCGAAUAAUAUCUUUUCAAUUACUCGUUAAAGCAAUUACGAUAAUAUAGAAUGAGACAUGGUUGUUUUUCUCGUUGCUUAAUCGAAUUUAUUUAAAAUGUACAGCUUACAUUACAACUGCGGCACAUUUCGACAUCCGGCCACGCUUCUGAGUAACAUCAUUAUCGAUAAGAUCAAAGAAACCCGGUCUACUGGAGUUUUCAGUGGAAAGUAACCUGUCAAGUCGGUCAGUAGCGCUACAUGUUUCUACGACAAUGAAGUGUCGGACGAGUGUAACUUUAGAUGUACUCUUAAAUCCUCGAGAACGUAGAAAAGAGGCAAGUAAGAGCUUUAAUAUCAAUAAUUUUUGAUCAAAGACGGUAUAUAUAAGUUUCAUUGAAUUGUAUAAUUUUAAAAUAAAUAGAAGAAGUAUUCUACGAUCAUUGCGUGUAUUCUUUUAAAUUUUGUAAAGAAGAAUUUUUACAUUGUGCUAGAUUAUUAAAGAUUACAGCACAGUCUUAAAGGGCUCUACAUUAGGAUAUUACAAUUAACUUUAACGAACUUCAUCAUAUCUUGACCUACUUACAUCUUACCACCAGCACAACUAGAACGAUGAUUAACGAUCUCGAAUGGACUAUAAUAAUACUCCUUCUGAUACUUAAUCGCACUAUUUCUCACUCGCAACAUGUUAAAUAACCUGAAGUCUAAACGAGGUGUCUAUCUAAAGUACUAUCUGUUAGCGUAGUUACUAAUUCUACUGAUUGCGUUCACUUUCAAUUAAUGUGCGUAACUUAUAUGAUAAUUCAUUUAUUCGAACGUUCGAAAGAAAAGGAAAAAAUUCAGGUAUUUAAGUUUUCAAAUAUUUAAAACUUAAAUAUUUAAAUGUGGGAAUAUUCGAAGAUUUAAACACGCAAACAUUCGAAGAUUUCAAUAUUCAAACAUUCUAAGAGCUUUCUAAAUUUUUAGACAUUUUUAAAAAAAUUGAAAUACUCCAAGUUUUCAACAACCUCCAUCGAAAUUUUCCAAAUUGCAAAAUUUUUCCAAAUUCCUCGUCUCGACGAUCACUCAGUCGAAACGAUAAAUCAACGUAACGAGAUUUUUAUCCAAUUCAAAUUUUCAGAUAUACUUCGAAUGAUUCCAAUCAUUUGGGCCAGCUGUGCUCAAAACAGUGAUACUGUACGCGUGCGUACACGAGACACGAUAAAUCCAAUUAGGACGAGCACGAGCAGCAACGAUUAUCGGAACUGUUUAAUCUAAUGCAAAUACCGGACGAUUGCAUCUGUCAAUAAAGGUUCGAGGCCGUCUUGAGUAGCGGCAGCUUCGAGUAUACUGACAGAAGUACUCGAGCGACGACACGGCAACAAGUGGUGCUCGACGCACCGCUAGGUCAACACAUCUCGUCCACCUCUCGUACUCUCGUUCUCGUACGUCUCGUACGAGGCUUCUUUUCACCGGGCAACUUCUGUGACAUUAUACUUGGAGCACCACUUCAAUCUAUCCGUCAAACAUCGGGCCGAGGAGUACACAACGGAAAAGGCAAAUGUUGUCCGAGUUCUCUGAAGACGCUUUACCUCGAAUCAGCGAUCCGUAUCACGUUUCGAGAGAUUAAACAACACGAUUAUUGCAUCGAUGAAAAAAAAAGGAGAAGCAUGGUGGUCAGCAGAGAGCGGAGGAGAAAGGAGCCACGCUCGUUAUUUCGAGCGCCUGGGCUGCUGGAUAAUUGAUAGCGGAAUGCUAAUAACUUGGACGAGCCAUGGAUUAUAAUAAGUUUCUUGCGUAUACCGCUUCUUGCCUUCGUUCGCUGUUGUUAUAAACGUGUCACAGACGAUCAAUUUUGUCAGCUUAUCACGCCGAUUUUAAUUAAUUGGUUCAGGAAAUCUGGAUGAAUGAAAAUAAAUGAAAGGAUAGUUUUUCGUGGCAUAAUUGAUAUGCAAUAAGAUUUAAAACUUGAAUUAUAUGAUUU